rnacentral:lncRNA from 1 species
AUCAAAUCCAAUUAUCCAACUACUCCUACUGUCAGUAUAGACUACUUUUCAUUUCGCCGGCAUAAUGCGGUGGUGCAAAGAACAUGAGUGAGGUUAUCUCCCGUUUUGUUAACAGUCGCAGUGUAAGGGUUUGAUUUCUGAGACAUUGAAUUGAACUUUUUGUAGGCGCAGUGUACAUACAAUUUUUAUUUUUUGAUCUACUGUGACAUAUUCCGCGAUUUAAUUCCUCACGAAACUCUAAAAACGGGACUCAAGUUGGGAUUCAACCUUUUUUUUAGACUAGCAUUCAUUUCUCCUAUAUCACCAACCUUAAUGAUUUUCUAGUCCCUUUAAGCAACUCAAAAGCUGUAAAACCCUGAUGGCGGUGGCGGCGCCUACCACUUUCUCAUCCUCCACCACCACCUCUUCCGCCUUAUCCAAAUUCUUCAAGCCAUCAAACAAAGUUCCUGCUCUCAGCUUGGGCUUCCUUUCAUCAUCUACCCAGUCGCUUAAUCGGCUUCGCGCUUCAGCUUCUCGAGCCGGGGCUUCACCUGCAGGUUCGGUUCUCUCGGCUCGCAUGGUCUCGACUCCCACCAUUAAGCGACCUGCUUCUCUCGAUUUCGACACCUCCGUUUUCACCAAGGAGAAAAUCAACCUUUCUGGCCACGAUGAGGUCCUUAUAUUUAUGCGUGUUUAUAUGUAUAUAUAUAAGCAUAUAUGAAUGUGAAUGUAGUUCAUUUUAUUUGCUAAUUCUUUUAUUUCAACUUUGGUCUCAAAUAAAUUAAGGUGCAACGAGUACAAAUAUUGUGAAUGUCUUUGAAUUUCGUACACUGUUGUGGCCGAACGUAAUUAUGCUGCAAUUAUAGUUCGUCUCCUAAAAGAAAGAUUUUACCUUUUAUAUCCUCCGUCCUCAAAACGAACGUGAAUUUGUUUGGAUUUAGGGAGUGCUAUGGUUUUUAUUUUAUAAAGCUAAAUAAGGUAAAGCUAUGUCUUCUUUUGUUAGGUUGGUAAUUAUCCUGUCAUUAUGAAUUUACAGAGACAACAAUGAACCACAUUUUCCUUAUUUCAGCUAUAUGUCCAUGAGAGGUUCGUCCCCUUCUGUGUCUAUAUAUGAAUGUGCUUGAAUUAAUGGAUCAGGUGUAUUUGCUUUUCUUAUUACUACAAGAAAUAAUAGAGCAUGUCAUAACUCAACUUGCAAUGUAAUUUCAAACGAAAAGUUGCAUGUUGUUCCUGAAGGAUGAAACCAUGCUAGAUUAAUUUCUUGAGCUGACCACCACUAUAUCUUUUUAUAUAUAUUUAUUGCAUGAGGUUUAUGUCGAGGUAAUGUGGGAUCUAUGGAAUUGUGUGUUGAUGUGGAUGACUGAGCAUGCUGUUUAUUUUGUAUGCAGUACAUUGUGAGAGGAGGAAGAAAUUUGUUCAAGCUGUUGCCUGAUGCAUUCAAGGGUAUCAAGCAUAUUGGGGUGAUCGGAUGGGGCUCCCAAGUAUAUUUAUCUGUUGAUUGCUCCACAAUUUUUUAUUUUUAUUGAAUUUAUUUCUUGUCCAGUCGUAUCUUUUAUCCCUCAUUGAUUUAUCUUGUGCAUUCUUUGGUUAAUUUUGUUGUGCUUAGCAAUUGAAUUAGCCACUAUUCUGUUUCGAUUGUGAAAUUUCUUAAUUAGAAUACUCAUUCAAGUGAUGGUCAUUGGUUUCUAUGCUAAUGCUCCUUUGUUGUUUUUUUUUUCCUAAAGAGUUUCCGUUCAUACUUUUAUGUUAGGUUAAUAAAGUUUGAAAAGGAAUGAAAUGCAUAUUGUAUCAUAUGUGACUCUUCACCAAACCAUCUGUUUUUCUGUUCCAAAAAUGCCUUGGGAAAUGAUAUUGGAAUAUUGGUGGAAAAAUGUUCAAGUCAAUCCUGUCAUAACUGCGGUCUAGCGCACUUGGCGUCCUGCGUCCCAAUCAUUGAUGCAUUGAAAUGUGGACAUCUUCCCUUUCUCGAGCUUUAUUUUUUAAUUAUAGUGAAUUUGCGUCUGCAUAAAAGUCAAACCGCUCUCUUGAUGUUCUACUGAUUUCUGUCAAGAUAAUAUGAACUCUUUUGCCUUUGUGUAGGGACCAGCUCAAGCUCAGAACUUAAGGGAUUCUCUUGCUGAAGCAAAAUCUGAUAUUGUGGUCAAGGUAAUUUGUUAUUUUUUCUACUUUUGUCAUAUUCUCAAGAAAUAAUGUGAGUUUUUCCUCACAUGAAGCUUGUCCUCAUAUUGUUCAUGCAGAUUGGUUUGAGGAAGGGUUCUUCCUCAUUCGCUGAGGCUCGUGCUGUUGGGUUUUCUGAAGAAAAUGGAACCCUGGGGGACAUAUGGGACACAGUCUCUGGCAGUGAUUUGGUGCUGCUCUUGAUAUCCGAUGCAGCUCAGGUAUCAAAUUGCCCUGUUUAUUUAGCCAUGAGGGAUUUGGUGUCAUCCUUUUUACGUGGCUCACUCUGUAUCUAAAAAUUAAUGCUUGAAUUUUUCGUUUGGUGUAAAAAAUGAUUUUUACAGGAAUUAGUAAAUGAGAGUGUGUCUCCUCUUUUUUUUUUGUUAUCAAUCAUUUUAUCAGCUUCUGAGUUUUUUCCAUUUGAAUACUGAUUAAAAUGUUACAAAAUUUGUUCAUCUUAAUUUUAUGGGAUAACUCAUUCUUAAUUUUGUCAUUCGUUGCAGGCUGAUAAUUAUGAGAAAGUGUUCUCCUACAUGAAACCUAAUAGCGUACUUGGACUUUCCCAUGGAUUCCUUUUGGGCCAUUUGCAGUCAUUGGGCCUUGACUUUCCAAAAAACAUCAGCGUGAUAGCUGUAUGUCCGAAGGGAAUGGGACCCUCUGUGAGAAGGCUAUAUGUGCAGGGGAAAGAAAUCAAUGGUGCUGGCAUUAAUUCGAGUUUUGCUGUCCACCAGGUUUGUGCAUCUUUGAGUUUGUGGAACGUGUAGUGGGAAUGUAUGCACAUUUGAGGUUCUUGAUACAUGAGAUAUGAUGGUUUUUGGCAUUCAUGUUUAGGAUGUUGAUGGCAGAGCUACAGAUGUUGCCCUUGGAUGGUCAGUUGCCCUUGGUUCUCCUUUUACUUUUGCCACUACUUUGGAGCAAGAGUACAAGAGUGAUAUUUUUGGGGAGAGAGGUAAGAGUAGUUUUUAAUUUCACUAAUUUCUUUUUGACUCGACAAUGAAUCCUUAAUGUCAACUUUCUGAUCAAUAGGCAUUUUACUCGGUGCUGUACAUGGUAUUGUGGAAUCAUUGUUCAGGAGAUACACUGAAAAUGGAAUGAGCGAGGAUCUUGCCUACAAGAACACUGUGGAGUGCAUAACAGGAACUAUUUCUAGAACUAUAUCAACAAAGGUUAGUUUUACUAGCAUUAGUUUUUCAUCCUACUUUAUCCACUCUUGCUAUAUAUCUGUUGUUUCAUACUUUAUUUGAUCCUUUCCACUACUUUUUGUGCUUGAUGUAUCUCCUAAUUCAUUUUUUAUGUUGAAUUUUGUGAUAGGGUAUGCUGGCUGUCUACAAUUCAUUGACUGAAGAUGGAAAAAAGGAGUUUGAGACUGCAUAUAGCGCUUCAUAUUAUCCCUGCAUGGACAUCUUAUACGAGUGCUAUGAAGAUGUAGCCAGUUGCAGUGAGAUCAGGAGUGUCGUCUUGGCUGGACGUCGCUUUUAUGUAAGAUUCUAUUUCUAUUUUCACAAUUUAAGCAUUGUGAUUUAUUUAUUUUUAUCGUUCUUUUUUCUCUUCUUCCAUGCAGGAGAAGGAAGGUUUACCAGCUUUUCCGAUGGGGAACAUCGACCAGACACGAAUGUGGAAAGUUGGUGAGAAAGUUCGAGCAGCACGUCCAGCAGGUGACUUGGGACCUUUGUAUCCUUUCACUGCAGGUGUCUAUGUGGCAUUGAUGAUGGCUCAGGUGUGGAUUCUUUCAGAUCUUAACUUAAAUUUAUUUCUUAUUUACGUGCUUCUUAAAUAGCAUAUUCUAGUUCUACGCAGACUAGAAGUGAGAUUACCAUGUGAAAUCUGUGUUGCUGAUAGUAGUAAUCGCAGACUGUUAAUUGGUUGAUCUGAAAGAGUGAAAGUGGUAAUGCAUACUUAUGUUUGAUCUCUGCUCAAAUGCAUGUUGCUCGAAUUUGUUUCAAGUGUCUAUUCAGUUUACUUCAGCAAGACGAAUGAUAUUUUAGCUGGAAAAAAUGGAUUAGCAAAUAUAUUUUGUUGCACCUUUUAACUGAUGAUAAUAUCCCUGAAAUUACUCUGAAUGUGAAUGUAGAUUGAGAUUCUAAGGAAGAAAGGGCACUCCUACUCAGAGAUUAUCAACGAGAGUGUCAUUGAGUCUGUGGAUUCUUUGAAUCCUUUCAUGCAUGCUCGAGGCGUUUCAUUCAUGGUUGACAAUUGUUCAACAACAGCACGGCUAGGAUCGAGGAAGUGGGCCCCUCGUUUUGACUACAUUCUCACGCAGCAGGCUUUGGUAGCAGUGGAUAAAGGUGCUCCCAUUAACCAAGAUCUCAUUAGCAACUUCCUAUCAGAUCCUGUACAUGGAGCUAUUGAAGUAUGUGCCCAAUUGAGACCUACUGUGGACAUAUCAGUGCCCCCGGAUGCUGAUUUUGUCCGUCCUGAGUUGCGUCAGUCGAGCAACUGAGGUUUUGAAGUUCAAUCUCCUAAGAAGCUCUUCUCCAUGGAAUUGAGGAGAGAUUCUUCAAACCAAGCAGAGAUUUGAAGUAAUGUUUCGAGUGAGCCAGGUAUCCAGGUGUCUUAAAUUAAAGGUCCUUCGUGAUUUUCUCUAUCUCCUCUAGGAGGAUUAUGCAGUUAUAGUAGCAGAAUGGUCCUGUAUUUUAACGUAUCUUGCGUUAGUCGGGCUCUGUAUGUGUUUUGAGUUGGUAAUAUUGCAAUAAUCAGUUUUUAUUCUGAACAAUUGACUUGGAAGGUAUUAUGAGAGGGAAUAAUUCAUAUAUUUAAUUUAUGAUGUGGCGUUUUAGAGUAAGCAUCAACACGAGGACAUUUUAAGGGUGCGUUUGAUUAUCAAUAUUUUUUAUGAAAAUAUGUUUUUUUUAUCUAAAUUCCUA